GUGAAUUUCUUGUUGUUUUUUUGUAAUUCCUUAAGAACUUUUGAUAAACAUAGUUACUAACAGUAUUGCUAUUAUUAAGAAGAAAUUUAAAAGUUUAUCAUUAGGCAAGUUGAGGUGCUUGCUUAAGCAUAGAGUAAGUUUAAAGAAACAUUAACUGGCACAAACAAGAGAUUGGAAUAAUGUUCAGCUACCAUAAUGAAACCUCAUUUUGAUAUUGUUGUAGACAUUUGCUACUUGUGUGAUCCAAAGGCCAUUGGUGUCACCUGGUAUCUUAGUAAAACUUCAGCAUUUCAAGGGCAGACCUAGUAAAUCAAAGCUGGCAUUUUAUCAAGGUCCCCCGUUGUGCUCCUGUGCAUUCGCCUGUGUGAGGGCGUUUCAGAGCGCUAAUUACUUGUCUAAUAGGUAGGGUCCUCAGUGGUCUCACAGCCCUCAAGCACAGGAACUGGACACGAGAUCAUUAUAAUCAUCAUAGUUUCUGAUAACUAAGUAGCUUUUUAAUAACAUUGACAUGUGACUUCUUACAGGCUCUCAUUCUAAAUUUCCAUUUCUCACUUGUUUCUGUUAUAAAAAUGUAGCAUCUUCUGCUUCUCUCUGGUCAUGAAUGAACCCAGAGCUGCAGAUGCUGCAGUUUGAGUAGGAAGCCCCUGCCCUGUUCUUGAGCUGUCACAUGAGACACAGCACAGCUGUACACACAUCCAUCCUCUUUUACAACAUGGGCAACAGCUUACACAGUGGAUGAGUCUGAAGUUUUGCUCCAAACCAAUUGAUUUUCUGAAGUGUGUAGUUAUGUUGACAAUAAAACUCUUUUAUACUACUUUUGAUAGUGUUCCACAUGAGGAUUCUGUGCAUGGAAGGUCUCAUCCCAGCUGUGGAAGCGGCUGCUGUUAAUGGUAGCAACAGUUGUUCUGACCGCUCUUCCUACUCACCUUCCAAAUGUGAGACAUUGUGUGGCUUUGUAAGUCACUUUUUUAUAGAGAUGCUAAUAACGUAGGCAUCUCACGGACCCAGAUGAAUAGCUUUUACCAAGAGGAUUCCACACAAAACUGGGGUCUGGCACCCCAUAGUUAGAUCUAGAUAGGACUUUUUGAAUUGACCCAACCCUGUGUUCCCGUGAAGCAGUGCCUGGCAUGAACCUCUGCUGUCCAACUGAAGAGAAAAGCAGAGUAGACCUUUCCAAGGAUCCCGCUGCCCAAGUGCUACCUUCUGCUUCCGGGAGCCUCAGGAAAUCACCUUGAAAUGGCGGGACACUGCCUGAACUCUUAAGUCCAUCUCUGUAGCACUGAAGAGCAGGGAUUCCAGACUUACUUGUUCUGAAAAAGUAGUGUUUUGUUGCCCUCUCAAUUUUAAAACAACAACUCUGCAAAUACCACUCAGUUGUAGAAAGUUGAAUUAAAGGGAAAUAUGUCUUUAUAUCAAAAUAGAUUUUAAAAAAAUCCCAGUUUAAAGGGAUUUUCACAGAUUUUGAACUAUCAUAGUUAAAGUGUUGAAUGGUAAAUUAUGGAGGAAAGUAUACUCUAAAACAUGAUUUUAAGCAAAGAGUUAGAAUAAGACAGCUAAAUGUUUAAUUCUGCAGGCACAUUAAACCUCCAUAAAGGAAAGCACACUAAGGAAGCAUAUGUUCUGUAUUGUAACUGAGAAAUAAUAACACAUAAAGUGUUGGGAACUAAGGCAUUGUAGAUAGGAAUUAGUGUACAGUAGUGUCUUCCCAGCCCCUGAGUGAAAGGCUGAAGCCCAGUCCUUUAGUGAGCACGGGUUACCCUUGCACCUUUGCUGCUGGGUGCUGGCACACUGGGUAAUUGAGCUGUGUUUAAUACUGCUCACGUCUUCCCCAGAGCACUCAUGGGCUACCUUCUAUACUUUGUAACUUGCACAUAUCCAAAAAGACUGAGCGUGAACAGUUUGAAGAUGUUUUGUGUUUUGCAGUAGAGUGCUAGUGGACACAGGCCUCAAUUAUUGUAUUUUUGGGCCCCACACUGUCUCUCUUGUUAGAACUGACCGUGUGCCUCUGACUUUUGCUUCUGAUCGAUCAUGUGGUAAUGCUAAACUCUUCUCACAAAUAUACUUGUUUGUCAUUGUAUGCCUAGCGUUUACAUUCCCAAGAAUGAACUUUUGGAUAUUUUUAUGUGCUCUUUAUGUUUUUGAGGUAUGAAAUAAACUGGAGUUGAGUUCUUUGAAGUUUUGUACAUUUGCAUAAAUGUUCUCCAUAUGCUGUACUUUAUACAUCAAGUGUUUCCUCUUGUUGAAAUAAAAACUAAAAAAAAAAAGU
rnacentral:lncRNA from 1 species